GACGAACGCUGGCGGUGUGCCUCAAACAUGCAAGUCGAGGGAGGGUUGGCGAGUGGCUUGCCAUUCGUUCAACUCUACCGGCAAACGGGUGAGUAACACGUGGGAAACCUGCCCUGAAGACGGGGACAACUUCGGGAAACCGGGGCUAAUACCCGAUACCCUCCACGGGGGGCAUCCUCUGUGGAGGAAAGGUUCCGCAAGGUUCGCUUCAGGAGGGUCCCGCGGCCUAUCAGCUAGUUGGUGGGGUAACGGCCUACCAAGGCAUGACGGGUAGCUGGUCUGAGAGGACGAUCAGCCACACUGGGACUGAGACACGGCCCAGACUCCUACGGGAGGCAGCAGUUGGGAAUAUUGGGCAAUGGGCGCAAGCCUGACCCAGCGACACCGCGUGGGGACGAAGGCCUCCGGGUUGUAAACCCCUGCAUGAGGGACGAAGCCGAAAGGUGACGGUACCUCAAGAGGAACGCCCCCGGACUAACUACGUGCCAGCAGCCGCCGCGGUAAC
rnacentral:rRNA from 1 species